rnacentral:rRNA from 1 species
AAUGAACGCUGGCGGCGUGUUUAAGACAUGCAAGUUGAACGGAGAGUAAUUAGUUUACUAAGCGCUCUUAGUGGCGGACGGGUGAGUAACACGUGAGCAACCUACCUUAAAGUGGAGGACAGUCCUGGGAAACUGGGUUUAAUACUCCAUGUGCAUAUAUGUAAAGAUGCCUUCGGGUGUCGCUUUAAGAUGGGCUCGCGUCCUAUCAGCUUGUUGGUGAGGUAAAGGCUCACCAAGGCAAUGACGGGUAACUGGUCUAAGAGGAUGAUCAGUCACACUGGAACUGAGACACGGUCCAGACACCUACGGGUGGCAGCAGUCGAGAAUAAUUCACAAUGGACGAAAGUCUGAUGGUGCAACGCCGCGUGGAGGAUGACGGUUUUCGGAUUGUAAACUCCUGUCAUCAAAGAGUAAGUCUUAAUCGUUAAGAGCGGUUAAGAUUGAUAGUAUUUGAAGAGGAAGGGACGGCUAACUUCG